rnacentral:rRNA from 1 species
CUCAAAUUUAUAAUCUGGCACCUUCGGUGUCCGAGUUGUAAUCUCUAGAAAUGUUUUCCGCGUUGGACCGCACACAAGUCUGUUGGAAUACAGCGGCAUAGUGGUGAGACCCCCGUAUAUGGUGCGGACGCCCAGCGCUUUGUGAUACAUUUUCGAAGAGUCGAGUUGUUUGGGAAUGCAGCUCAAAUUGGGUGGUAAAUUCCAUCUAAAGCUAAAUAUUGGCGAGAGACCGAUAGCGAACAAGUACCGUGAGGGAAAGAUGAAAAGCACUUUGGAAAGAGAGUUAACAGUACGUGAAAUUGUUGGAAGGGAAACGCUUGAAGUCAGACUUGCUUGCCGAGCAAUCGGUUUGCAGGCCAGCAUCAGUUUUCCGGGAUGGAUAAUGGUAGAGAGAAGGUAGCAGUUUCGGCUGUGUUAUAGCUCUCUGCUGGAUACAUCUUGGGGGACUGAGGAACGCAGUGUGCCUUUUGGCGGGGGUUUCGACCUCUUCACACUUAGGAUGCUGGUGGAAUGGCUUUAAACGACCCGUCUA